UUCCUUUUUCUAUAUAAACCAAAACCCUCUCCUUACUGCCACAUCCAAAUUUCUGUGUUUAUCUCUCAAUGUGUGUUUGUGUUUUUGUACUUAUCUAGUUCCGCACGUAGCCUCCCGGGCUCGUCUGAGAUCAAUUUGAAGAAGAAGAAGCCCCACUGCUCGUGCUAAAUUAAUCUCGCCGCUAGUGUUGCAGCUUAGCCCUUUGUACCUCUUUUCCAUGGCUGAUUUGUGUCAAUUCAACGGUUACACUUGCUUUUUCUUGAAAUAUGUAUCUUUGAUUUGAAUUUUAUCGAUUUUUCAAUUGAUCCAUUGUUUGCCUCUCCUCACCUUUAGCUUCCUUUCUAAUCGUCAAUGAAAGCAGUGGCUAGUCAUGGAGGCAAAGAUUCAUCGCUGAUGUUACGUGGGGGUUCGGCGCGUUCAAUGAUUUCGUGGUGGUUGACAAGACUAUGGAUUCUGCGUCUUGGAAAGUCUUCUUAGGCUAAAUUUGAAAGUGGGAUGUACAUUCAUAUAAUCAAAUUUGUACAGUAGUAUGGAUUACACAGUACACUUGUAAUACUUAUAUUUUUGAAUAAUGAUGAAUCAUGAAAUUAGUUCGAAUGUUUUAUA